AAAAGACGUUCCUUCCAAUUUUUCCAAUUUCGAAGCGAGCUAUCCGAUUCAUACAAAUAGUUCCUACCCACUAGCAGGCCCUAAACGAAUCGCUCUCAUUUUCUCCUUCCUUUUUUCAAGUUUCAACUAUUUCUUCUAGCAGAACCACCAAAAAGGAAAAUUUCAUAUUAACAGUUAUUAUGUUGCUGAUAAGCAAAAUAAGUAAAUAGUGGUGAAAGAUAAUUAGUGAAGUACGUACAUGAACAAUAAAAUCGAUUAAUACAAUUCAGGAUAUUCAGAAAUGUAUAUACAGUAAAUAUUCGAUGUGUGCACCAUUCUCGGGUCUGAACUGGUGCAAAUAUCGUACAGGUUCUACAUUGAUUGAUGUUUUGCCGAACGUAGAAAAGCACAGCGAACGAAGGAUACCAAAUAUUAGCAGAAACAAAUGAAGACCAAAAGAACCAUAAUGCUAUAUUAAACGGCAGAAUCACCAAAAUCAUAGUAUUUAUUCCUGUGUGCA